rnacentral:lncRNA from 1 species
GAGACACAGGCAGAGGGAGAGGCAAGCUCCCUGAGGGGAACCUGAGGGCACAAUCUGAGCCAAAGGCAGCCGCUCAACCAGUGAGCCACCCAGGUGCCCCUAGUCACUCAAUCUUUGGUUAAUAUUUGUAUGCCUAUCAUUUUCCAUCCUUUUACUUUUCAUCUACCUAUAUCAUUAUAUUAAAACCAGUUUAUUAUACACAGCAUAUAGUUGGAGUUUUAAAAAAUCCGAUCUGAUGAUCUUUUAAUGAUUGAUUUUAAACUAUUUACAUUUAGUUUAUAUAUUAUAAAUUUGGUUUUAGCUCUUUUGUUUCUCCCCCCCCCUUCGCCAUUUCUUUGAAGGUUUUUUAUUUAUUUAAAUAAUAAAUAAUAAUUUAUUUAUUUGCUCUCUCUCUGAGAGAGCAGAGCAAGCAACAGAGAACACGAGGGGGAGGGGUGAAGAAAGGGCAGAGAGAGAGAGGGAUGAGCAUAGAGCCCAAUGCAGAUUUGACCUCAGGACCCUGGUAUUAGGACCUGAGCCAAAGGCACACUUAACCGUCUAAACUACCCAGGAGCACUUCUUCCCCCUAUUUUUAAUUCCUCUCUCCCUUUCUUGCCUUCUUUAGUUUCAUUUGAUUAUAUUUUAUUAUUGUUUUAAUUUAUCUGUUUUGUUUUUUUACUAUUUCUCUGAUUAUAAUCCUUAGUAAUUUUUCAGGGAAUUAUAAUAUAUAUAAUAAAUGAUCCAUAGUAUACCUGAAUUACUAUUUUACACUUCAUGUUGAAUGUAGAAGUCUUUUCUUCUUAUCAUCCUUUUAGCCUCUUUCUUUUUUGUAAAUAGAGUGCAAUCAUAUAAAUUAUAUAAAUUUUUAAAUGGUGACUGAUAGGCAAACAAAAUUCUGGCUCUCAAAUCAUGAUUUCCUCAAUACUUCAUUUCAUUGCUAAUGUCUUCCUUAGAGUAUUUUUAUUCAUAUUCAUAAAUUAAUCUAGAUUUUUUUUUGGAAACAAUCCUCAUCCAGUAUUAUUUCAGACUGGUAGCCUUCUAGAAUUAGCUUAUAAAAUUCUUUUACAGAUUUUCUCUGUAAUUUUAUCUGGUGACUCAUUUAAAUAUUUUUUAAAAUAUUUAAAGAGAUUUUGAACCAAAUUUUCAUUUUCCCACCACAUUUAUUAGACCAGGGCAAUUUCUACUUUGAGUCAAUUUGAAAAAAAACUAUAUAUUAUAUACAAUUUAUUCAAAUAUACUACCAUAUUAUUUAUAUAAUUAUAUAAUUUUUCAAAUAUAUUUUUUAUAUAAAUAUAUAUACAUACACAUAUAUAAAAACACGUUAAAAAGUCUCCAUAGGGAUGCCUGGGUGGCUCAGUGGUUGAGCAUAUGCCUUCGGCUCAGCUCAUGAUCCUGGAGUCCCGGUUUCGAGUCCCACCUUGGGCUCCCUGCAUGGAGCCUGCUUCUCUCUCUGCCUGUGUCUCUGCCUCUCUCUCUGUGUGUCUCUCAUGAAUAAAUAAGUAAAAUAUUUAAAAAGAAAAAUAAUAAAUAGAUUUAAAAAAAUUUUAAAGUCUCCAUAAAUAUAUGUAUGCCACCUUAUUAAUGCCAUUGUAGUUCUCAUCUUUACAUUGAUCAAAUUUAUAAGUAGUUUAGUUUGGUGUUUUUUUCCCCAAAGAAAAUAAAUGAAAUGUGUUUUAUUCUUCUUCAUUAAAUUCUAACUGUAUAAAUGGUUUCCUUCUGCUGGAUUUAGGUUAAUCUAUUCUUUUCAUAGUUUCUUAAGUUUGGAUUGCUUUGACAGCUUAUCAACUCUCCACUAUGUGACAGACACUGUAUUAGAACUAGGAUUAUAAGUGUAAUUAUGUGGAGCAGUAAUCAAUUGUUAGAUGGUGACUGUUAAGCAAACCAAAAUUAUGGCCCUAGAUCUUCAUUCUCUGCAUUUAUUAAAGAGUACUAAUUUCCCACAAGAUGACUUUCCAAAAAUGAAUGAUCACCUAUAGGUUUUGAUUUAUAGCAACUCAUUAUCACUCUUAUCUGAAUGGUAUCCUAUUCCAACUCUGGUCUUCCCUUUGAAUCAAACAAAAUAUAUAUCUCCAAGAAGAGGUUAGAAUCACUUCACAGAUUACUUUCUAAUUGUAAGGAUAUAAAAGGACCUUGAAAAUGAGAAAUUUUGGGGAACCUGAGUGGCUCAGUUGGUUAAGCGUCUGCCUUUGGCUCAGGUCAUGAUCCACGGCUCUGAGAGCGAGCCCCAUGUUGGGCUCCCUGCUCAUGAGGAGCCUGAUUCUCCCUCUCCUCCCCACUCAUGCUCUCUCUUUUCUCUCUCUCAAAUAAAUAAAAUAUAUUUUUUAAGAAAUAAAAUGAGAAAUUUGACAGUCAUCACUUUAACCAUAUGAUCAAAUUUAGCCUCAUGGUAUCAAUAUGUGCCUCUUGAUAUAUGACAAUAUAAAAUAUUUAAUAUCAUUUAUGAAAUAUUUUUGCAAAAUUAUUUAACCCAAACCCAAUCUUCUCUCUACUUAAUUUCCAAUGUAGAUGGCAGAAUAAGUUAAAGGAUAAUAUUAGGAAACAAGCACAACAAUCCAAAAUAUGAAACACCCCACAAGACAACUGCAUGGCCUCUAAGAAGAAAAAGCCUUCCAUAAAUAAAGGUAGAGAACUAAACUAGACCAAAAGAGACAUUAUCGGGAUCCCUGGGUGGCGCAGCGGUUUGGCGCCUGCCUUUGGCCCGGGGCGUGAUCCGGGAGACCCUGGAUCAAAUCCCACGUUGGGCUCCCGGUGCAUGGAGCCUGCUUCUCCCUCUGCCUGUGUCUCUGCCUCUCUCUCUGUGUGACUAUCAUAAAUAAAUUUUAAAAAAAAAAUUAAAAAAAAAAAAGAAACCCGAAUAUGUUUCUCUAUAUUUAAAAAAAAAAAAAAAG